rfam:Azoarcus sp. CIB, complete genome.
AAAGUCCCGUGAAAGGAGUUGUCCGUACGCCUUUCUAGCACCGGGAAGCGGCGUCCGAGUAAUCGGAGGUCGUAAGUUUCCCAAGGGCAAAGCAGCAGGCCGCAACGCAAGUGAACCUAGACGUAGCCUCGUAACACGAAUGGAGGAGCCGACCCUGUGGUCUGAAGGGGAAGGCCGUUGGAUGAGCGCUGGAAGAACGGAAGUAGCGGGCAUUGACUCCCGGGGUAUCAGGGGU